GCAAGGCUCCGCGGCGGGGCCUCCGGACGACGGUUCAGUACCCGGCACGCGACAAGACUGGCCAAA
rnacentral:ncRNA from 1 species